GACGAACGCUGGCGGCGUGCUUAACACAUGCAAGUCGAACGGAAAGGCCCUGCUUGCAGGGUACUCGAGUGGCGAACGGGUGAGUAACACGUGGGUGAUCUGCCCUGCACUUCGGGAUAAGCUUGGGAAACUGGGUCUAAUACCGGAUAGGAGCCAUCUUUAGUGUGGUGGUUGGAAAGUAUUUUCGGUGUAGGAUGAGCUCGCGGCCUAUCAGCUUGUUGGUGGGGUAAUGGCCUACCAAGGCGGCGACGGGUAGCCGGCCUGAGAGGGUGUACGGCCACAUUGGGACUGAGAUACGGCCCAGACUCCUACGGGAGGCAGCAGUGGGGAAUAUUGCACAAGGGGCGCAAGCCUGAUGCAGCGACGCCGCGGGGGGGAUGAAGGCCUUCGGGUUGUAAACUCCUUUCGCUAGGGACGAAGCUUUUUGUGACGGUACCUAGAUAAGAAGCACCGGCUAACUACGUG
rnacentral:rRNA from 1 species